UACGUAGGGGGCUAGCGUUGCUCGGAAUCACUGGGCGUAAAGCGCACGUAGGCGGCUUUUUAAGUCAGGGGUGAAAUCCUGGAGCUCAACUCCAGAACUGCCUUUGAUACUGGGAAGCUUGAGUCCGGGAGAGGUGAGUGGAACUCCGAGUGUAGAGGUGAAAUUCGUAGAUAUUCGGAAGAACACCAGUGGCGAAGGCGGCUCACUGGUCCGGUACUGACGCUGAGGUGCGAAAGCGUGGGGAGCAAACAGG
rnacentral:rRNA from 1 species